CAGAAUGGUUCAGAGGAUGUUUCCGCUGGGAAUGUAGUUUUUGUUCUCUCUUAGUGUUAUCCUGGUCUAGGUUAAUUGUGAUAGACACUAUUAAACUUGGUGCUACAUUAGUCCCUUUUGCUUUCAUUUUUUUUGAAAUCAGUUCAAGUGGAAGAAUUAAGUACUUUCAGUAUAUUUUGCAGUAAUACUUCGUAUGACCUAUAUGCGCAUUAGUCCCUUUUGCUUUCAUUUUCGGAAAUCAGUUCAAGUGGAAGAAUUAAGUACUUUCCGUAUAUUUUGCAGUAAUACUUCGUAUGACCUAUAUGCAUUUGCUGUUAAAAAAA
rnacentral:lncRNA from 1 species